rnacentral:rRNA from 1 species
UUAGUGGCGGACUGGUGAGUAACGCGUAAGCAAUCUGCCUAUCAGAGGGGAAUAACAGUGAGAAAUCACUGCUAAUACCGCAUAAGCUGUGAGGAGCACAUGCUCUAAAUAGAAAAGGAGCAAUCCGCUGAUAGAUGAGCUUGCGUCUGAUUAGUUAGUUGGUGAGGUAACGGCCCACCAAGACGAUGAUCAGUAGCCGGACUGAGAGGUUGAACGGCCACAUUGGGACUGAGAUACGGCCCAGACUCC